rnacentral:tRNA from 1 species
GGAGCUGUGCCUGAACGUUUAAGGGACACUUUGAUAGAGUGAACCAUAGGGGUUAAACCCCCCUCGGCUCCU